UACGUAGGUGGCGAGCGUUGUCCGGAUUCAUUGGGCGUAAAGCGCGCGCAGGUGGUGCGGUAAGUCUGUCGUGAAAUCUCCCGGCUCAACUGGGAGGGUGCGGUGGAGACUGCCGGACUGGAGGCACUCAGAGGCCGGUGGAAUUCCCGGUGUAGUGGUGAAAUGCGUAGAGAUCGGGAGGAACACCAGUGGCGAAGGCGGCCGGCUGGGGGUGACCUGACGCUGAGGCGCGAAAGCGUGGGGAGCGAACGGG
rnacentral:rRNA from 1 species